rnacentral:snoRNA from 1 species
GUCCUUUUUUGGUUCAUAAACAUGAUGCCUGCUAUUCACACUGUAUUGUGACAUGUGUGUCCCUCAAACUUGUUACAAUGCUGGCAUAUUACCACGUGGACA